AUUGAACGCUGGCGGCAGGCCUAACACAUGCAAGUCGAACGAGUGGCGGACGGGUGAGUAAUGUCUGGGAAACUGCCCGAUGGAGGGGGAUAACUACUGGAAACGGUAGCUAAUACCGCAUACCAUCGGAUGUGCCCAGAUGGGAUUAGCUAGUAGGUGGGGUAACGGCUCACCUAGGCGACGAUCCCUAGCUGGUCUGAGAGGAUGACCAGACACACGGGCACGGAGACACGGUCCAGACUACUACGGGAGGUAGCAGUGGGGAAUAUUGCAUAAGGGGCGCAAGCCUGAUGGAGCCAGGCCGCGUGUAGGAAGAAGGCCGUCGGGUUGGAAAGUACUUUCAGCGAGGAGGCGUUACGCGCAGAAGAAGCAUCGGCUAACUCCGUGCCAGCAGCCGCGGUAAUUC
rnacentral:rRNA from 1 species